AAUCAACGCUGGCGGCGUGCCUCAGACAUGCAAGUCGAACGAUUAAAGCUCUCUUCGGAGAGUGCAUAGAGUGGCGCACGGGUGAGUAACACGUAAGUAAUCUACCCUCGAGUGGGGAAUAACGUCCGGAAACGGACGCUAAUACCGCAUAAUGCAGCGGCACCGCAAGGUGACAGUUGUUAAAGAUUUAUCGCUUGAGGAGGAGCUUGCGGCAGAUUAGCUAGUUGGUAAGGUAAUGGCUUACCAAGGCUACGAUCUGUAGCCGGUCUUAGAGGACGGUCGGUCACACUGACACUGAAUAACGGGUCAGACUCCUACGGGAGGCAGCAGUCGGGAAUUUUGGGCAAUGGGCGAAAGCCUGACCCAGCAACGCCGCGUGAAGGAUGAAGUAUUUCGGUAUGUAAACUUCGAAAGAAUAGGAAGAAUAAAUGACGGUACUA
rnacentral:rRNA from 1 species